rnacentral:rRNA from 1 species
AUGUUGGGUAAACAGGGUUGGCGCCUCCUGACGCACCCUAAUUCCCUAUGUGCUCGUGUACUCAAGGGUAAGUACUACCCGAAUACAGAUUUUCUGCACGCCACAGUACCAGCCCGAGCAUCAAGCAUUUGGCGAGCAAUCAUGGAUGGGCGGGAAGCGUUGCACACUGGGAUGAUUCACAGAGUAGGGGAUGGUUCGUCGAUCUCUAUCUGGAAUGACCAGUGGAUUCCAAAUACGGUAUCUCUGAAACCAAUGGCCCGCCUGGGCAGUGCGCCCCUUGACAUGGUUUCAGACUUGAUUGACGCUUACACGGGCGGUUGGAAUAUAGAGCUAGUCCGCCAAAACUUCCUUCAUCCGGAUGCCGAAGCAAUAUUGAAUAUACACUUGCAUUUGGGAGGAGGAGAAGACUCCUUGGUGUGGGCUUUUGAGAAGUCAGGAAAUUAUACUGUUAAAUCAGCGUAUCGCUCUCUAGUGACCCGGAACAAGCUUCACACUCUAGGGGAAGGGACGAUUACGGAUGCUUCAUCUUCAAACAAACAGUUAUGGACCGCACUAUGGAAGCUUCAUGUGGUGCCGAAGGUUCGAGUGUUCUGGUGGAGGGUUCUUCGCGGCAUCCUUCCUGACUCUAUGACUUUGAAGCACAAACACAUAAAGCAAAUUGGACGGUGUGAUAUCUGCAAGGCGAUGGAUGAGACGUUAAUGCAUGCGCUCAUCUCAUGUACGCAUGCCAAAUCUUUUUGGGCAGCAACUCGUGAUCGGUUUGAUAUACACCUGCCGAGCCUGCGUCCGGACACUUGGGCGCGUGACAUACUACUGGAUCAGUUGUUCACAGAGGAUGCCAGAUGCAAAAUCAUUACUAUCAUGCAUGCCAUUUGGUCCUCAUGCAACAUAUGGACGCAUGAUCAGGAAGGAUAUGAUCCACCAAUGGCCAUGAAGUGGAUUCAUGAAGCUCUCUCUAUCUUGGAGCUACCGGAGCGGCGUAGGAGUUCGAUAGCUGGGCCAACAUGGCGACCACCAGAGGUGGGCUGGAUCAAGAUCAACAUCGAUGUAUCAGUAUUCCCUGAUGCCCCUACUGGGGGAGCAGGAGGGGUAGCGCGAUUGCACCUUGCGCUGUUGGGCGCCUGGUGUAAGCCACUGCCAGGAGUAUCAGAUCCGUUCAUAGCCGAGCUAUUGGCGUUAAGGGAGGGGGUGAUCUUCGCCUAG